ensembl:lncRNA
GUCAGUUUUCAGAUAAUUCGCCUCCUUGUUUUGAAUAUUCAGUUUGUGAAUUUUGACAUCUCAUGCAAAUCACCUUUGCAUCAACAUUUUUAAAAUGCUCUGUUACUGACUGACUGUCACAUCCCUUACUGUCACUCUCUACAGCGGAAUUCAGUGCACGCCCUCUUCAGCAGGAGUCGCUCAAAGUCAUCAGGAAGUGCACCUCAGUCUGCAACCCGCGCAGUAGAGAACUAACUGAGUGGAUGACUUCAGACAUGCCCCCCCCCCCCUGCCUACUACACUGGCAGAAAAUCUGCAUUACUGCUGCGAGACUCUCCAACAGUCCUCUUCUAGAACUCGGAGCUUUGAACACUGUACUGAGAGUAAGGGUUCACAGAAGACGGAGAUCACAGAUAGCAUCAUAGUUUUGCUAAAAUUCUCUAAGAAAGUUCCUGGAGGGGUUAGCUGUUACAGCACCUGAAUGGAUACCACAAGAUACCUCCUUAGCUCUGGGAUCAAGUGAGUGGGGCUUCUCCAAAGGUUCCUCCAGGAGUUAAAGGUUUUGGGAAGUCCUGGUUUAUAUAUGCUGGUGGUGCAUUCAGAUGUCUCUUCUGUUUUCUUUAACAUGUGUCAAUUGUUGACCAAAUUUAAAUCCUUUUUUUCUUUCUUUCUUUCUUUUUUGUGAAAUGACAUUCUCACUUUCCUCUCACUUUUCCUUUUUGUGACAUUUUAGCCCAAUUUUUACAAGUUCUGUCAUACAUUUUCCUGCAACUGACCCCAAUUUUCACCUUGUUCUUUUCAAAUUUAAUUUGUACGCAAUAUUAUCAUUCUCAGUGUGUGUGUGUGUGUGUGUGUGUGUGUGUGUGUGUUUGUGAGAGAGAGAGAGAGAGAGAGAGAGAGAGAGAGAGAGAGAGAACACAGUGUGUCGUAGUGAAUAUGUAGAGAGAACAAAGAAAAGGUUGCUGCAGUUGGUUCUCUUCUUGUACUGUAGGUUCUGGAUAUUGAACUGAAGUCAUCUGAGUUCAACAGCAAGCACAGUUGAGCUAUCUUCAGACCCAGCUUUCAGACCAAGAGGUACUGCUCCUUCCUGGUUUUUCCCUCUUAUCUGUGUGUCUGUGGCUUUAAGAAACACAUGUAAACUUUCAGAAGCUUAAUACUGUCUUGGCUGGAAAAAAAUCUAAUUUUAGAGCAUAGGAGAGAUUAGGGGCCUAACUAAAAUAAUGUUCUGAGAUGCACUAUGCAGAAUCAAGGGAAUAGCAUGAGAUCAGGUGGUAUCUUAGCACUUUCUGUUUUAAUUUCUUUCUUAUUCUUAAUCCAGAAACCUUCUUUUUACUAAAAAUCACUUAUAAUUAUAUUGUUCAUUGGUCCAAACCAAUCAAUCAUUUCUAUUUUGUGCUUCUAAUAUUUCUUCAAGUGCCUAUAUGAAUAACCUGUAGGCCCACGAAUUCCGAAAAUCGAGUGCGUUUAAAUAGGUUCAAUGCAGCCAGCACUGCUCUGUAGCCACAUCGGGAAAUCCGUGUGCUCUCAAGACACAGCUGGCCAUUUUGAAGCUACCUUCUCAACUUUCUGGAAGAAAGGAUGAGUAUCCAGUAGAUGUGUGGCAUCACAGACAAAGGUGUUUUCAGUUUCUAUGAUUUCACCCUGGCUCGCCCAUCAAGCACAAUGCUCAUUGUUACCAACCAGAUGAAUCCCUUAAAUGACCUCCAGUCUCAGCAGCUUCUAUAGCUAAAAGCUCCUCAAUCAAGCAGCUUUGAGGUGGAAAAAACCUUUUAUUCUAUAACACAUUAAAAGAUUUUUCUACUCCCCCUGACUUGGGCAAUUUCCCUAGCUUUUACUAUGAGAACUAGACAGGGUGCUGUAUUCAUGUGUCUGGUCAAGGUCCUAAAGCUAACUUAUCCCAUUUGCUAAAGAAUACUUGUUUCUCCAGUUGAAUCUAAAAAUGUAGACACUUACAAAACAGGAGUCCUCUUAAUCCUGAUCAAACGCUGGGCUGCUGCUGGAGUUGGAGUGGUGCUGGGUCCAGUGCUCGCUGGAUGCCUGUAUUAUUUACUGUAUUUUCUGUGCAGCUUCUGAGGAGUUUGCACAGUAGCAGAUUGUACCAUGGCAGUCACUCUUUCUAACAAUACUAAGAAUUAGUCUUUUGUCCCCGGACAGGCCGUGCAAUGCCAUCUCUGUUCUGACUCGCACACACGGAGGCUGUUGCCUAUUUUCAGCUGGGCCGAUGACCACAUUCUGCACUGAUGCGAAACCAAGCCCUGCUGUUAUGGGACAAACCAUGGUUUUUUUUUUAAAUAACCCACCGAAUUUGUAACUUUCAAGAGGGUUUUGAUUUGGGCUUCUGAGGGAUUUACACAGCUGGAAUGUAUCUUCUCACCUUGCUGAUCUUUCCAAUAUUCUCUGUGAAUGUGUUCACUAUUCGUUUUGGUAAAUAAACUCACACUAAAUCAUUUUUACUACUUAGAAAGUGUAAGUACCAAAAAUGAUUCAGGAUAUAUUUUAGUAGAUCGUGUAAUGCAUAUGAUAUCUGUAUGACUGCACUUUAAUAAUUUGCUAAGACUUAUAACAGAUUUAAUGCAACAUUUUCUUCAUAACUACUGUCCUCGGACUUCAGGUGCAACCACUUUACAGUUGGAAAACAGUGUAAAAUAUUUGGGGGUCCAGUAUUAUUUCAAACUUUGGAUCUUAUGAAGUAUAAUUAAAUAUUAAAAAGAUAGGAAUGUACCUAUGCUACACUCGGGAUCUUUUGGCAACCUGAAAAAUAUUAUAUUUU